rnacentral:rRNA from 1 species
AGUUUGAUCAUGGCUCAGGACGAACGCUGGCGGCGUGCUUAACACAUGCAAGUCGAACGAUGAAGCCCUUCGGGGUGGAUUAGUGGCGAACGGGUGAGUAACACGUGGGCAAUCUGCCCUUCACUCUGGGACAAGCCCUGGAAACGGGGUCUAAUACCGGAUAACACCGGCUUCCGCAUGGGAGCUGGUUAAAAGCUCCGGCGGUGAAGGAUGAGCCCGCGGCCUAUCAGCUUGUUGGUGGGGUAAUGGCCUACCAAGGCGACGACGGGUAGCCGGCCUGAGAGGGCGACCGGCCACACUGGGACUGAGACACGGCCCAGACUCCUACGGGAGGCAGCAGUGGGGAAUAUUGCACAAUGGGCGAAAGCCUGAUGCAGCGACGCCGCGUGAGGGAUGACGGCCUUCGGGUUGUAAACCUCUUUCAGCAGGGAAGAAGCGAAAGUGACGGUACCUGCAGAAGAAGCGCCGGCUAACUACGUGCCAGCAGCCGCGGUAAUACGUAGGGCGCAAGCGUUGUCCGGAAUUAUUGGGCGUAAAGAGCUCGUAGGCGGCUUGUCACGUCGGGUGUGAAAGCCCGGGGCUUAACCCCGGGUCUGCAUCCGAUACGGGCAGGCUAGAGUGUGGUAGGGGAGAUCGGAAUUCCUGGUGUAGCGGUGAAAUGCGCAGAUAUCAGGAGGAACACCGGUGGCGAAGGCGGAUCUCUGGGCCAUUACUGACGCUGAGGAGCGAAAGCGUGGGGAGCGGGCUAAAUUAGAUACCCUGGUAGUCCACGCCGUAAAAGUAAAAAAUUAUGUUGGCGACAUUCCACGUCGUCG